rnacentral:rRNA from 1 species
GAUGAACGCUAGCGGCAGGCUUAAUACAUGCAAGUCGAGGGGCAGCACGAAUAGCAAUAUUUGGUGGCGACCGGCGCACGGGUGCGUAACACGUAUACAACCUACCUAUAACAGGGGGAUAGCCUUUUCGAAAGAGAGAUUAAUACCCCGUAAUAAAUUGAGUGGCAUCACUUGAUUUUGAAAGCUACGGCGGUUAUAGAUGGGUAUGCGUCUGAUUAGCUAGUUGGUGAGGUAACGGCUCACCAAGGCGACGAAUCAGUAGGGGAUCUGAGAGGACUAACCCCCACACUGGUACUGAGACACGGACCAGACUCCUACGGGGGGCAGCAGUAAGGAAUAUUGGUCAAUGGAGGCAAACUCUGAACCAGCCAUGCCGCGUGCAGGAUGACGGCCCUAUGGGUUGUAAACUGCUUUUGUACCAGAGAAAACCUACUCACGUGUGAGUAGCUGAUAGUAUGGUAAGAAUAAGCAUCGGCUAAACUUCGUGCCAGCAGCCGCGGUAA